UGCAAGUGAGCGAUGCCGGCCUCCUGUGGUCGUUCUGUUCCGGCGCCGGGACCGCGGCCACUCCCAUCCCAGAGAGGAGGGUGCCUCUCUCCUAGGACAGCUUGGUCAGGUGACCUUGGCGGCUCUUACUCAGCCAGGGACCCGGAAGGACGAGGGAUCAGGAGGCCGCGGGCGUGCGGGCAGGACGGCGGGCGCGGGGCCAUGAGGUCCCCGAAGCUGCCUGGGCUCGUACUCUCGCUGCUGCUGCUGCUGCCGCCGCCGGGUCCAGUUGGCGGCGCUGCGCGCUUCGACCCCACCUGGGAGUCCCUGGAUGCACGCCAGCUGCCCGCCUGGUUCGACCAGGCCAAGUUCGGCAUCUUCAUCCACUGGGGCGUGUUCUCCGUGCCCAGCUUCGGGAGCGAAUGGUUCUGGUGGUAUUGGCAAAAGGAAAAGUUACCGAGUUAUGUGGACUUUAUGAAAAAUAAUUACCCUCCUGAUUUCACAUACGCAGAUUUUGGACCACUGUUUACAGCAAAAUUUUUUGAUGCAAACCAGUGGGCAGAUAUUUUACAGGCUUCUGGUGCCAAAUAUGUUGUCUUAACUUCCAAACAUCAUGAAGGCUUCACCUUGUGGGGCUCAGAGCGUUCGUGGAAUUGGAAUGCUGUAGAUGAGGGGCCGAAGAAGGACAUUGUCAAGGAACUUGCAGUAGCUGUUAGGACCAGGACUGACCUGCGCUUUGGACUGUACUAUUCCCUUUUUGAAUGGUUUCAUCCGCUCUUCCUUGAGGAUGAAUCCAGCUCAUUCCAGAAACAACAAUAUCCACUGUCUAAGAUGCUGCCCGAGCUCUACGAGUUAGUGAACCAGUAUCAGCCUGAGGUCCUGUGGUCAGAUGGUGAUGGAGGGGCCCCAGAUACCUACUGGAACAGCACAGUCUUCCUAGCAUGGUUGUACAAUGAGAGCCCAGUUCGGGACACAGUGGUCACCAAUGACCGUUGGGGAGCUGGUAGCAUCUGUAAGCACGGUGGCUACUAUACCUGCAGUGAUCGUUAUAACCCAGGACAUCUUUUGCCACAUAAAUGGGAAAACUGCAUGACAAUAGACCAGUUUUCCUGGGGCUAUAGGAGGAAUGCUGGAAUCUCUGACUAUCUUACAAUUGAAGAAUUGGUGAAGCAACUUGUAGAAACAGUUUCAUGUGGAGGAAAUCUUUUGAUGAAUAUUGGGCCCACAAAAGAUGGCACCAUUUCUGCAAUUUUUGAGGAGCGAUUAAGGCAAAUGGGGACCUGGCUAAAAGUCAAUGGAGAAGCCAUCUAUGACACCCAUGCUUGGAGAUCCCAGAAUGACACUGUCACCCCAGAGGUAUGGUACACGUCCAAACCUAAAAACAAAUUGGUCUAUGCCAUGUUUCUCAAAUGGCCCACAUCAGGACAGCUGUUUCUUGGUCAGCCCAAAGCUACUCUGGGGGCAACAGAGGUUGAACUACUGGGACAUGGACAGCCACUUCAAUGGACUCCUUUGGAGCAAAAUGGCAUCAUGGUAGAACUGCCUCAGCUAACUGUUCAUCAGAUGCCCUGUAAGUGGGGCUGGGCUCUAGCACUAACUAAUGUGACCUGAUUUGCAGUAGAGUGCUUCCUGAUGCAGUUAUAUCUAAGACUAGAAUGUAUCAGGUUUCUAUAAUUGUAGCACACAGAGAAAGCAAAUGUAAAAUUGGCCCAGAAUUUCCUAAAUUACUCACAUAACUGGUUUAACUCUCCAGUGCACUUUGCUAUUGACGUCCCUUCACACUGAAUUUAUUUCCACGUGUGAUUCAGAGGUGGGGAUUUUGUUUCAGAGUAGUGAGGAAUUGGUGGUGUUAAGGACUGAGUUGUGUCUUCUGCCAAAUUCACAUGUUGAAGCCCUAAGCCCCAAUGUGAUUGUAUUUGGAGAUUUUAAAGAAGUAACUAAGGUUAAAUGAAGUCAUAAGAGUGGGACCUUAAUCCAAUAUGACUGGAGUCCUUAUAAGAAGAGGAAGAGCACGGAUGCAAGCAUAUGGAGGAAAGACCAUGUAAGGAUGCAGUGAGAAGGUAGCCAUCUGCAAGCCAAGGACAGAGGCCUCAAGAGAAACCAAACCUGCUGACACCUUGAUCUUUCAGCCUUCAGAACUGCAUUAUUCUGAGGAGGCGUCCACAGGCUUCUCCAGAUAGUGAAAGGAUCUAUGACAACAGAAACCAUUAAGUGCCCUGUGAGCAGCAGAGAAACAAGAAGUGAACCUAUCCUUUGUGUUCUCUCCUAAGCAUCAGAAAACCCAAGUGAGCUUAGGUAAGUCUUGUUCUCACAAAUUCAAGGUUAAAUUCUCUGAAUACCAUGUGGCAUUUUAACUCAUAGAAAUCAUAGUUAAAAAAAUUGGUGGAAGUCUUGUCAAUUAAUGGUCUAGUUUAUAAACUCAAUCUACAUCCAGUCACACUAAGAAAAUUUACUAAGCAUUAGUAUCAAUGAUGUUUUUACUAGGUUGAAACCUUUUGUCUUCAUUCUCAAUUAUACAGACUUUAAUUAAUGUAGAACAUAAAUUACUUAAGCACCAGAGCUGGUGUUGUAUUACGCUUAGCUGUAUUUCCCACUUGUCAAGAUGAACAGCUUACUGAUGAAGCCAGAGACUUCAUGAAAAUGGAGAAAGAUAAAGGUUUAAAUGCCAGAAGUUAUAACUUUUUUUCUCACACUAAUAUACAUGUAAAAAUUAAAAAAAAUAAACAGAAAAUUUAAAACUAAGUUUUUAAUUAAGAUUUUUUGAGCUUAAAUUAAGCUUAAAAUUAAGUGAAAUGAGAUCAGCCUUAUUCAUUCUUUCUUCUGAAAUAUGAAUGGCUAAUUCUCAUGGGUGAGAGGAUGACACAGAAGACUGAAGGAGUGAGGAAAAGUAGCAUGUUAAGGACAAGCUAAUGACACUAUACAGAGAAAGGAAGAAUUACAACCCAUAGUCUCAGGACUCUUCAUGUCCUCAAGUAGAAAUCCACAGAGAUAAACGAUACUGAGAAGAUGCCAUCUUUACACUUAGGCCUAGGGUCUCUUUGCACUGCACAUUAUGGCAGUGGUUUGGAACUGAGGUGUAUUGCGGGUAAUUUAUUACUUGUUGUACAGUUUCCAAGUUUGCAAGUGACUUGGAAAAAAACCUAUGGAUUCAAAGUUGUCCUUUUAAUAAAAUUAGUCUUACUCAAUGUAUUCUAAAAUGCUUUCCUAAGAAAGGAGAUGGAGUUAUAGGUAGUCUAAUGAAAAAUUUAAAUAACCUACUGAGUAUGCAGUUUUUAAUGAGCAGAUUAUUGGUGCACUAUUAAUUGUUGUAUUUAUUAGCUAUUAAGAUGCUUUACCUUUCCCAUAAAAAUUUUCAAUUUUUCCUCAAAAUGCGAGGAACUAGUUCGCUGAUUUGCCUCAAGGCUCAACUUUUCUACUAGCACAGCUUAAUGCAAAACAGUAACACUGUAAAUUCAACUGACCACUAGAAUGUAUUUGGACUAAAAUGUAGUCUGUCUAACACGUGUUGGACUAUAACAUGGAGAAAGGUAUUCCCAAACUCAUAAAAGUGCCAUGAUACAUUAUUACUCUCAUGGGUCAUGCUACCAUACUCUACAUGUGGUUUCAAGUUUUUGGUUUCUUUGAACAAAUAUCAUAGAAGAGAAAUGUAAUUUUAUGUUGGACAAAUAGGAUCACAACCAAGAGUACAGUCUGUUUUUAAUAAUACCCCCAAGCUUUCCUCUUACCUGAA